UAGGUCAAGACAUUAAAAAUACACCAACACGUGUUUGCUUGAGCCUUCCUCAGGGUGUAGUGACACAAAGGGAACAUCAGAGUGAUUCUAGCUUGCAGGUGUGAGAGCAUGAUAUGCUCACCCUGACCUCCAGGGGGCAGAACACCACAAACCCAAUACACAACACAUGGUACAACAUGGAGCACUUAGGCCCCCCCAUCUUCAAUCAAGCAAAAUGCAGAGUACAGCCAGCAAAACAUGGUAACAUAUACUUCUGUGUUUU